rnacentral:sRNA from 1 species
CACGAGCCAAGUCUCAGCGGAUUGCAAAGUUCGCCUUUGACUAUGCCACCAAGAAGGGGCGGAGCAAGGUCACUGCUGUCCACAAGGCCAACAUCAUGUGAGGGGCAUGGCUUUGUGUAGGAUGGGUUCCUGGGAAGGUAGCCCCUGUACUUUCUUGGCUGAUUCUGUCCCCUUUGGCCCAUGGACAGGAAACUUGGGGAUGGGUUGUUCCUGCAGUGCUGUGAGGAAGUUGCUGAACUGUACCCCAAAAUCAAAUUUGAGACAAUGAUCAUAGACAACUGCUGCAUGCAGCUGGUGCAGAAUCCUUACCAGUUUGAUGUGCUUGUGAUGCCCAAUCUCUAUGGGAACAUUAUUGACAAUCUGGCUGCUGGCCUGGUUGGGGGAGCUGGUGUGGUCCCUGGUGAGAGCUAUAGUGCAGAAUACGCAGUCUUUGAGA